GAUGAACGCUGGCGGCGUGCUUAACACAUGCAAGUCGAGCGAAGCACUCUGCUUUGAUUCUUUCGGGAUGAAGAGCAUUGUGACUGAGCGGCGGACGGGUGAGUAACGCGUGGGUAACCUGCCUCAUACAGGGGGAUAACAGUUAGAAAUGGCUGCUAAUACCGCAUAAGACCACAGCACCGCAUGGUGCAGGGGUAAAAACUCCGGUGGUAUGAGAUGGACCCGCGUCUGAUUAGCUAGUUGGUGGGGUAACGGCCUACCAAGGCGACGAUCAGUAGCCGACCUGAGAGGGUGACCGGCCACAUUGGGACUGAGACACGGCCCAAACUCCUACGGGAGGCAGCAGUGGGGAAUAUUGCACAAUGGGGGAAACCCUGAUGCAGCGACGCCGCGUGAGCGAAGAAGUAUUUCGGUAUGUAAAGCUCUAUCAGCAGGGAAGAAAAUGACGGUA
rnacentral:rRNA from 1 species